UUCCGGUUGAUCCCGCCGGACCCGACUGCUAUCAGAGUGGGACUAAGCCAUGCGAGUCGACGUAGCAAUGCGUGGCGAACGGCUCAGUAACACGUAGUCAACAUGCCCAGGGGACGUGGAUAACCUCGGGAAACUGAGAAUAAACCACGAUAGGUCACGAUUUCUGGAAUGGAUCAUGGCCUAAAUCUACAUGGCCCCUGGAUUGGACUGCGGCCGAUCAGGCAGUUGGUGAGGUAAUGGCCCACCAAACCUAUAACCGGUACGGGCUCUGAGAGGAGAAGCCCGGAGAUGGGCACUGAGACAAGGGCCCAGGCCCUAUGGGGCGCAGCAGGCGCGAAACCUCUGCAAUAGGCGAAAGCCUGACAGGGUUACUCUGAGUGAUUUCCGCUAAGGGGAUCUUUUGGCACCUCUAAAAAUGGUGCAGAAUAAGGGGUGGGCAAGUCUGGUGUCAGCCGCCGCGGUGAUACCAGCACCCCGAGUGGUCGGGACGAUUAUUGGGCCUAAAGCAUCCGUAGCCGGUUCUGCAAGUCUUCCGUUAAAUCCAGCCGCUCAACGGAUGGGCCGCGGAGGAUACUACAGGACUAGGAGGCGGGAGAGGCAAGCGGUACUCAGUGGGUAGGGGUAAAAUCCUUUGAUCCAUUGAAGACCACCAGUGGCGAAGGCGGCUUGCCAGAACGCGCUCGACGGUGAGGGAUGAAAGCUGGGGGAGCAAACCGGAUUAGAUACCCGGGUAGUCCCAG
rnacentral:rRNA from 1 species